GGUUUGCAGCUUAGUGGUAGAGCGCUUGCCUAGCAUGUGCAAGGCCCUGGGUUCAGUCCUCAGCACCA
rnacentral:tRNA from 1 species